CAGUAGCCACGGGAAUACGGAGGGGGCUAGCGUUGUUCGGAAUUACUGGGCGUAAAGCGCACGUAGGCGGCUUGGUAAGUUAGAGGUGAAAGCCCAGGGCUCAACCUGGGGGCUGCGUUUGAUACUUGGUUGCUAGAGUGAGGAAGAGGGUCGUGGAAUUCCCAGCGUAGAGGUGAAAUUCGUAGAUAUUGGGAAGAACACCGGUGGCGAAGGCGGCGACCUGGUCCUUGACUGACGCUGAGGCGCGAAAGCGUGGGGAGCAAACAGGAUUAGAGACCCCAGUAGUCCCUGUCUCUUAUAC
rnacentral:rRNA from 1 species